rnacentral:misc_RNA from 1 species
UUUCCGUAGGUGAACCUGCGGAAGGAUCAUUAAUGAGUUGUCAUGGGGUUCGAUGCUGGCAGCCAAUUUUUGGAUGCAUGUGCUUGCCCUAACAAUCAUCUUCCAAACACCUGUGCACAUUUUUGAGGGAGUCUUGAGUUGGUUGCCGCUCUUGGGUGAUUUUCUCACAUUCCCUUAAAUCAUUAUACGCUAUUAACAAUGUUGAACGUGCUCUGUGCCGCAAGGCUAUUAAUAUAAUACAACUUUUAACAACGGAUCUCUUGGCUCUCUCAUCGAUGAAGAACGCAGC